ensembl:lincRNA
UGAACAGGCAGGAGGCUUUCCUCCAGGCUCCCUUCCAAGCUCCCGACCACUUCCAAGCUCCCGACCACUUCCACGCGGACUGAAAAGGGAGCCUUCCUUCCUAGGACUGCAAUGCCACGCGCGCCCAGAGCCCCGCGAGAACAGUCAGCGCGGAGCUCCCGCGCCCUGACUGCUGGGCGCCCGGAGGCAGUGGCCUGGCCGGGGAGGCGUUCCAGCGGGAAGACAGGCCCGAGCCGGCCUGGGGCCCUCGCUGGCCACCGGGGAACGUGUGCCGCGGGUUCUCAUGCCGCGAGGUGGAUCCCACAGCCAUCUCACACAGUGGAAUCAAGGAUAUAAUAAAACCUCCUGGAGGCAGAGGGGCACAAGGGCCGACGGCGCAGGUACAUACUGCUCCCUAAGGAUUCUCUCACACCAGCUGCAAACGGCUCAGCCCCAGCCUGCCGUCUACGCGUGGUUUGGCCGCCAGCACUUUUCUUCCGGGGCUGGGUUCUGCUCUCUUCGCUGUCCAAGUGAAACAACAUCACAGGAAACAAAAGCAUUUCCCAACCUUGUUAACUGUUCAAUUUCUUUCCUCUAGUGCUUUCAUAAUAAGAAUGUGCUAAACAACUAAAGUAGGAGCUACAGUGUCACUCCCAUCCCCUUUCCUAGAGGAGGAAAUGACACAUAGUCUGCUCAACUUUCUCAAAGGGCUCGUCAAGCAGUCUCCUGCUUCCCUUACCAAGCAGUAAAACAAGUUUUUAAAUCCCCUUCACCCGAGGGUUGAAUUUUGGAGGGCCCAGCCCUGCCUGCUCCGCCCGCGCUCCGGGCCUCAAGCCUCAGGUCUCUGACAGGGCAGAGACUAUUUUCAGCUGGAGUGGAGGCCACGAGGCCAUAUGGUCUGCUCUGACGCUGGUUUCAUCUGUCUGCCGUGGAGACCCUGGAAGACAACUUCGAGGGGUCUGGAUCGGAAGCCGUUGUCCAACCUGGCCAGCCGGGGGUGGGGGGAGUGGGUGGGGACAGAGGCACAAACGAGGCCUCUUCCCCGCAAGUGCGCUCUCGCCCUCCGGCCUCUGGCUUUGUGUGCAGGACAGUCACAGCCUCGGAAUUCCAACAGCGGCUAGGCAGUGUGGCCUUGGCCUGGCAGGUAGACCAGGUGGCCGGGGGCCUGGCCCAGCCCCGGCUUGCGCUUGCGGUGACGGGACACCCCAGCUGGGCACUGCACCUGCCCGUGGUUCUGUGAGCACUCGUGGGCUGUGUGCAGCCUUUCUCUCGGACAUGCCUCGUGGGUCUGUUUCCUGCUCUGGCCUGGCCGGCACACCAGGGAUCUUGGCGUCUCCUGACCUGACUUGGGCAAUGGUGCCUGGUGCCUGGGAGGCCUGCUGAGCAGAGCUCGACUGCAGCAGUCACCGUUUCUGAAAACGUCUGCAAGGGUCACAGCAAGACCCCAUUCCCAGGACCGACCGCCCCUGCAGUGAGCAGUACAUUUAGAAACAACAUUAAAAGCAAUGUUGGUCUCUGUACCUUGAAUUUUACAGGAUUUUUACUUCGAUGUUUGUCACUCAAUCCUUAUCCCUCCACUCCAGUGCAGGAGGCCUGUCGAUACCGUGCAGCCCCCUCCGGGCGGUGAGCAGCCCCUCAGCCCCUCCUGCUGAGACGUGUCUGGCAGGGCCUCCGUCCUGCCUGCAUGUCCGAGGAAAAGCAGCCAACAUUUCAAGAUCAAGAAUUUGGGGACAGAGGUGAAGUUUAUUCCAAAUCGCUGUCAGUCAGUUCCUAUGAAAGGAAAAAUGCAUUUGUUCCUCAGAAAGAGAACAGAACACAUUUGAUUACGCCAGACAUUUUGUUUAUUUUACCAGUACAUGUUUUUAAAAAUAGCAAGUAAUUAUUAUGCUUGAGUGCCUUCAAAGCCUCCCCAUCAUUCCAGUUUCAACUGUGUUGCUUCCAAGAAGACCUCAGGGGCUGCUAGCCUGUGGGAGUGAGAGGAGACGGCAGAGGGAGGGCAGCUAAGGAGAUGGCGGGAGGGGCAGGCUGCCAGAAGCUCAGCCGCGGAAACUAUAGCCUGGAUGAAUUACUUACUGUAUUUCCUCAACUGAAUUAAAGCAUGCUUGUCUUGGCAAGAAAAUCAAGGAGAUUAUAUUCUUGAGGUAGGAAAUAAAAGGUCAUAUAUGUUCCAAAGCUGUUGGGCUAGAAUCUACGGAGAAUAUUUCCAUAAAGACUUUAUACAUCCAGGCCCUUUGUAAAAACAUGAUUUGGAGAGAGUGAUACGGAGCAAAUAAAAACUAUAAGCUGGGAAGCAGACUUGGCUCAACAGAUAGAGCGUCCACCUACCAAAUGGGAGGUCCACGGUUCAAACCCACGGCCUUCUUGACCUGUGUGGUGAGCUGGUCCACGUGCAGUGCUGAUGUGUGCAAGGAGUGCUGGGCCACACAGGGGUGUCCCCUGUGUGUAGGGGAGCCCCAUGCGCAAGGAGUGCACCCCGUAAGGAGAGCUGCCGAGUGCAAAAGAAAGUGCAGCCUGCCCAGGAGUGGCGCCGCACACAUGGAGAGCUGACACAACAAGAUGACACAACCAAAAGAGACACAGAUUCCCGGCGCCGUCGACAAGAAUAUAAGCGGACACAGAAGAACACACAGCGAAUGGACACAGAGAGUAGACAACUGGGGUGGGAGG